rnacentral:sRNA from 1 species
GCUGGGCGUGGUGGUGUGCGCCUGUAAUCCCAGCUACUUGGGAGGCUGAGGCAGGAGAAUUGCUUGAACCUGGGAGUUGGAGGUUGCAGUGAGCCGAAAUUGCACCACUGCCCUCCAGCCUGGGAGACAGAGUGAGACUCUGUCUCAG